rnacentral:rRNA from 1 species
GUGGGGAAUUUUGGACAAUGGGCGCAAGCCUGAUCCAGCAAUGCCGCGUGUGUGAAGAAGGCCUUCGGGUUGUAAAGCACUUUUGUCCGGAAAGAAAUGGCCUGGGUUAAUACCCCGGGUCGAUGACGGUACCGGAAGAAUAAGCACCGGCUAACUACGUGCCAGCAGCCGCGGUAAUACGUAGGGUGCGAGCGUUAAUCGGAAUUACUGGGCGUAAAGCGUGCGCAGGCGGCGAUGCAAGACAGAUGUGAAAUCCCCGGGCUCAACCUGGGAACUGCAUUUGUGACUGCAUGGCUAGAGUGCGUCAGAGGGGGGUGGAAUUCCGCGUGUAGCAGUGAAAUGCGUAGAGAUGCGGAGGAACACCGAUGGCGAAGGCAGCCCCCUGGGAUGACACUGACGCUCAUGCACGAAAGCGUGGGGAGCAAACAGGAUUAGAUACCCGGGUAGUCC